CUGACCAAGAGACACACAGGAGGUGAGGGAGAGGGACUGACCUGACCUAGAGACACACAAGAGGUGAGGGAGAGGGGCUGACCUCACAAAGAGACACACAGGAGGUGAGGGAGAGGGGCUGCCUGACCAAGAGACACACAGGAGGUGAGGGAGCAGGACUGUCUUGACCAAGAGACACACAGGAGGUGAGGGAGAGGGACUGGCCUGACCAAGAGACA
rnacentral:lncRNA from 1 species